GGGCAACCCUGGCGGCGAGCGGCGAACGGGUGAGUAAUGCAUCGGAACGUAUCCUUGAGUGGGGGAUAACCCAGCGAAAGUUGGGCUAAUACCGCAUGAGCUCUGAGGAGGAAAGCGGGGGACCUGAAAGGGCCUCGCGCUGGAGGAGCGGCCGAUGUCCGAUUAGCUAGUUGGUGGGGUAAAGGCUUACCAAGGCGACGAUCGGUAGCUGGUCUGAGAGGAUGAUCAGCCACACUGGGACUGAGACACGGCCCAGACUCCUACGGGAGGCAGCAGUGGGGAAUAUUGGACAAUGGGCGCAACCCUGAUCCAGCCAUGCCGCGUGAGUGAAGAAGGCCUUCGGGUUGUAAAGCUCUUUUGGCGGGGACGAUGAUGACGGUACCCGCAGAAUAAGCCCCGGCUAACUUCGUGCCAGCAGCCGCGGUA
rnacentral:rRNA from 1 species